GAUGAACGCUGGCGGCGUGCCUUAUACAUGCGAGUCGAGUGGGUUUAGACCCACGGCAAACGGGUGAGUAACACGUAGGUACUUUCCUUGUCACAGGAAUAACCCUCCGAAAGGAGGGCUAAUACCUGAUGUGAUCGCAAGAUUAAAGGGUAUCCGCAAGGAUUACCGGACAAGAAGAGGCCUGCGGCCUAUCAGCUAGUUGGCGGGGUAAAUGCCCACCAAGGCUAUGACGGGUAGCUGGUCUUAUGAGGAUGAUCAGUCACAUGGGCACUGAGACACGGGCCCAACUCCUACGGGAGGCAGCAGUAGGGAAUUUUGCGCAAUGGGCGAAAGCCUGACGCAGCGACGCCGCGUGCGGGAUGAAGGCCUUCGGGUCGUAAACCGCUUUUAUAAGGGACGAACUUUGACGGUACCUUAUGAAUAAGAGGUUGCUAACUCUGUG
rnacentral:rRNA from 1 species